UCCUGUGGCACAAUGGCUCAGUGCAUCUGGCUGUUAACCAGAAGGUUGGUGGUUUGAGCCCACUCAGGACAG
rnacentral:tRNA from 1 species